ensembl:lncRNA
GAAUAAAAAGACAGUACUCCUCAGUUUAACUUCUGAAAAGGAGGUUAAAACUGCUGCCAUUAGUUUCUCUAGGCCUCAGGUUUCUUAACUAUAAAAUGGGGGUGGAGGGGAGCUAAUCUUCCAAUAUUUUUAAAAAUUCCUUCCAGCUAUUAAGAAUUCUCAGUGCUGGAUAGGUAAUUUUAUAACUGAAUAUGAAAAGGGAAAAAAAGUCUCUUCACACAUAGUGAUUGAGUCUUGACUAUUUUUAGUGAACUUGAUAAGAAAAUACUUUUCUUAAUCAAAUGAUGAAGACAGGACUAAGUUUUGAAUUAUUUUAGAACAGGAUUUUUAAAGAACAUAAUGUAAGUAAAAUACGAUUUUGCAACAAAAUAAAAUUAAGGUAGGAUGAAGCACAUUCUUCCUGGUUUCAGCUUGAUAGAGAAAUUUUUAUUUGCCUGAAUAUAAAGGCCUAAUAUUUUCCCCUACCAAGGAUGCUUUUCCAAUACCAGCAAUACAUAAGUACAUUCUAGUACAUGUCAAUAUCAUGUUUAUCAUUCACUGGAGUAGGUAACAUUUCACUUAUUUUGCAGAAGGGAAAAAUAUCCAUCAUAAUGUCUAGUAAUGCCCUUCAUUUCAAAUUAUGAUUAAUGUAGUAUGCAGACUUUUUCACUAAGAUUAACUUAGUUUGACUUGAAUUUAUAUUCAUCUAACUUUCAUUUAAAUUUCCCAGUAAUUUAAACCAUAUUUAUGCCCAUAUAUGUGCACUAUUAUACUACCUUGGUUAGGAGCACUGGCUUAAGAUAGUCUACUUGCUCUACCUUCUUUUCUGCACUGUUAAUUCAAUUAAUGAAAAUACUGCUUAAUUCCUGCUACCUUAUAUUUGGGUAAAGAAGAUAGGAAUGGAUUUUAAACUUGGAAUCUCUCAAAAUACCCGUGAUUUUUUUUUUUCCCAUACUGCUUUCAUCAUACCAUAGAAAUAUAGAUCAAAUCAUUUUCCAGGUUCUUUCAUUGAACCAGCUCAGCCAAGUCUCAAAAUCCACCCAUCAAGUUCAAGUUCCAGAAGCAGUUGGAAGUUUUUCCAAAACAUUGAUGUGGAAAAAUCAGAAAAAAUUGGAGGUCUAAAUUUCACUUGCCCAAUUCACAAGGAAGUUUUACGGGAUGUUUUUGUUACCAUCAUCCCUUCAUUUUUCCACUUAUUUUUCCCUGUUUAGAUGCGAAAUAUUAGGCUAUCAAUAGAGUCCUUUUAUAUCCAGUCUGUUUUUUAAAAAUGCUAUUUUGUCUUUUAUAAUUUUUCAUAGGACGCAGUACAGUGCUACAUAAGCAAUGUAAUAUUGGUGAUGAAUUGACUGCCAAUACCACACAUGACCUGGUAAGGCAGAACCUGAGGUGGCUUAUAGAAUCAGCCAAGCAGCCAGAAUGAUUUGUGUAGCUGCCCAUACAUAAUAAACUGGACCAGAUUCAAAAUGACCCUUUAAAAAGCAAACUGAGCCAUUUCCUACUGACAGUAUCUACUUUCUGUUGUUCCCUGGGGAUAUGAAUGUGAUUGUUUAAACUUGUUUUGCAAAUAACCUCCCUCCCCCACCCCCCUUUAGAUAGGUGGUAGUCUCACUUGAUUAAAUUGAGGACUUGCUUUAAAGAAAAGGCUGAGUUAUGGGAAAGAGUGGUUUCUAUUUUCUGUGUUUGUAAUUGCCAAAUUUUCUGUUUAUAUAUUGUUCUGAUGUAAUUAAUUAAAAAG